CGCAUCUGUGCAUGCAGCAUAUCAAUAAGCGGAGGAAAAGAAACUAACAAGGAUUCCCUUAGUAACGGCGAGUGAAGCGGGAAGAGCUCAAAUUUGAAAUCUUCAAGGUUUUACCUUGACGAAUUGUAGUUUAAAGAAGUGUUUUCUGCUGAAGUUUUGGUAAAAGUUCUUUGGAAUAGGACAUCAUAGAGGGUGAGAAUCCCGUAUUUGACCAUUAUUUUCAGCUUUGUGAUACACUUUCAAAGAGUCGGAUUGUUUGGGAAUGCAGUCCAAAAUGGGUGGUAAAUUUCAUCUAAAGCUAAAUAUUGGCGAGAGACCGAUAGCGAACAAGUACCGUGAGGGAAAGAUGAAAAGAACUUUGAAAAGAGAGUUAAACAGUACGUGAAAUUGUCAAAAGGGAAGCGUUUGACACCAGUGUUGUUUUCUCGAAAAUCAAUUAAAAAUGGCUCGAUUUUGUAUUGCUUGAGACCUUAAAAGCUCACUGUACAUUUUUCGUGUCUUUUUUAAUGCACUUUUCGUUUAACAAGUCAACAUCAGUUUCUUUGUUGCAAAAGGGUCAUUGGAAGGUGGCUUUCUUUUCGGAGAAAGUGUUUAUAGCCUUUGGCCUCUGCAAUCGGAGAGACUGAGGUCUGCAGCGUAGACUCUUCGGGGUUAGAUACAUUUGUGCUAAGUUAUAGCUUUUUAUAGACAACUUGUUGACUAUAAUUAGUCUUGUAGCUUACUCGCUUAUGCUAUUUUACCUACGCUUAGGAUGUUGACGCAUGAGAUAUACGC
rnacentral:rRNA from 1 species